AGUGAACGCUGGCGGUAGGCCUAACACAUGCAAGUCGAACGGCAGCACAGUAAGAGCUUGCUCUUACGGGUGGCGAGUGGCGGACGGGUGAGGAAUACAUCGGAAUCUACUUUUUCGUGGGGGAUAACGUAGGGAAACUUACGCUAAUACCGCAUACGACCUACGGGUGAAAGCAGGGGAUCUUCGGACCUUGCGCGAUUGAAUGAGCCGAUGUCGGAUUAGCUAGUUGGCGGGGUAAAGGCCCACCAAGGCGACGAUCCGUAGCUGGUCUGAGAGGAUGAUAGGCAAAAUGGGAAUUGAGACACGGUCCAGACCCCUAGGGGAGGAAGCAGUGGGGAAUAUUGGCCAAUGGGCGCAAGCCUGACCCAGCCAUACCGCGUGGGUGAAGAAGGCCUUCGGGUUGUAAAGCCCUUUUGUUGGGAAAGAAAAGCAGCAGGUUAAUACCCCGCCGUUCUGCCGGUACCAAAAGAAUAAGCACCGGCUAACUUCGU
rnacentral:rRNA from 1 species